CCAGACAUCAAUCCAGGUUCUCCAAAUCUUUCUGAACAAGUCUCUCAUAUUUCAAACUUGUGUGGUCUUCAGGGGAACUCCCUAUACACUGGCGGAGUGCCUCUGCCAGAUAAGGAAGUGACCGAGGAGGCGCAAGGAGGACAUGUUUUGAGAGAUGCUCCAAGCCUCUCAUGCCACAGAUCAAGAACACAAAGCAUGGAGAGAGACUCAGUUAACGAAAAUUUUAAAAUAGUGAGCCAGGAAGCAGGGGCAUGAGCAAAUUGUAGUGGGCCAGGAGUGGAUGAUAAAAGUGAUGGAGGAGCAAAUAGAGAUGCUCAAGUCCCUAAUAGCAUUGCAGGCAGAACACAUGUGUGCUCGCCUCCCCCUCUCCCCCGCAGCCCAUACAGAACUGCUUGCCAUGCCCUCCCCCAACUCCUCCCUCACCCUCCUUGCAUCUUUCCAGCCCGUCACAGUACCCCAUUCACUCUGCCCCUUCGGACAGCUUCCAAAAUGACAGCUGUAGUUAUAUGCAGCUAUGAGAGCCUCCGCCGGGGAAGUGCCCUUGUCAAUGUUAUGUCCCUUUCCAGAAAGCAUUUUCUGUGUGUUGUUUAUUGAUAUUUAAUAAAAAAUACUCUGAAAGAUAAUCCA